rnacentral:lncRNA from 1 species
UGAUGGGCGUUAUGUAAUUAUGAUGAUGACAAUUUUUUCAAUCUACACAGGAUUAAUAUACAAUGAAGAUGUUGAUUCUUCUUGGAGUUGCACGAAUGAACCUUGUGAUUGUGAUUAGUUACUUCAAAGCAUUUUUUUGGUCUUAAUGCAUGGAUGGGAGAGUGUCGGAUGCUUCUUCAGAUACUAUUUCUUGGUCCGUCAAAUCUGCUUGACCCAAAUGAAAGUUUUUCUCAAAUGUGGCAAAAAUAAUUGUCUCAUCAAUUGUCAGCGCGCCUGCUUCCAGC